rnacentral:rRNA from 1 species
AGGACCGGGAUGGACGUACCUCUGGUGUACCAGUUGUCCUGCCAAGGGCAUGGCUGGGUAGCUAUGUACGGAAUGGAUAAGCGCUGAAAGCAUCUAAGCGCGAAGCCAACUUCAAGAUAAGAUUUCCCACCGCAAGGGUAAGACCCCAGAAAGACUAUCUGGUUGAUAGGUCGAAGGUGUAAGUGCAGCAAUGUAUUUAGCUUAUCGAUACUAAUAGGUCGAGGACUUGACCAAU